rnacentral:rRNA from 1 species
UACGGGGGGAGCAAGCGUUGUUCGGAUUUAUUGGGCGUAAAGGGUGCGUAGGCGGCGCGGUAAGUCGGGUGUGAAAUCUCGGAGCUUAACUCCGAAACUGCAUUCGAUACUGCCGUGCUUGAGGACUGGAGAGGAGACUGGAAUUUACGGUGUAGCGGUGAAAUGCGUAGAUAUCGUAAGGAAGACCAGUGGCGAAGGCGGGUCUCUGGACAGUUCCUGACGCUGAGGCACGAAGGCCAGGGGAGCAAACGGG